AAGCAGGCUGGGGCCAGUAGGGGGUGAAGCUGGAGAUCACAGAGGGCUCAGGUCCGGUGGGGUUUGUGGGUCUCACAAAGAAUUGGAAUUUUUUUAAGAGUACAAAUGGAGGCCAUUGGAGGGAUUUUAGCCAGGACAGUGAAGCAAUCCAAUUUCAUUUUGUAAAAGACCCCUCUGUUAAUUACUAGAAAUUCUCUGCUAACAUUUACGGGUUGCCAUGUGCCAGACACUAUGCCAGCCAUUUUACACAGUAAAAUUACAAUAAAAUCCAAACUCCUUUCCAUAUCCUACCAUUGCAGCUUAAGUUGUGUCCCCUAGAAAGAUCUGUUGAAGUUCUACUGUCCUGUUCCUCAAAGUGUAAACUUACUUGGAAAUACAGUCUUUAAAAAGAUAAUCGAAUGAAAACGAGAUCCUUAGGGUGGGCCCUAAUUCAAUGUGACUGAUGUCGUAACAAGGGGAGGUUUGGGCACAGACAGAUAUGUGGAGACUCAGGGAGACCCUGUGAGAGUAGAGAUUGGAGUGACAAUUCACUGAGGAACAUGGGAGACAGCAGUCAAACCACAGAAGCUGGAAUGGGGACAUGGAACGACUGACCUUCUCCUCUCUUGGAAGGAACCAACCCAAGUGACACCCUUGUUUCAGUCUUCCAGGCUCCAGAAUGAGGAGAAAAAAAUUGUUAUUUGAAGGCAGUCAGUUUGUGCAACUUUGUCUUGGCAAAGCCCAGGACACAAAUACCACUCUUUCUCCCUCACCCACUGCAGUCAGUGCUGCUGGUCUUCUCCAGUCCUGCUCACAGCCCCUGCACCUGCCCUCCCUGUGUGGAGUGAGUGCCUCAAGAUUGGCACAUGGCUGGCCCUUCCUGUCCUUCAGCCUGCACAGUGAGCAGCAACUCCUCAGCCAGGCCCUCUUGGACUUCUGAUCUAAACUGGCACCCUCACCCCUGUCUACCCCACCCCUGUGCUCAAGGACACAGAACACAUACCCUGUUUUACGUUUUAUUUUUGCAAUACUUUCUACUCCCUGAAGCAAUCUUUUUCAUGUACUUACUUGUUUAUGGUCUGUCUCUCUUCUUUCCUUGUUCUAUCUCCCACCUAGAAAAUAAGGAACAAGAACAGAAGGCUUCUUUACUUAACACUUG
rnacentral:lncRNA from 1 species